UUGGAGGGCAAGUCUGGUGCCAGCAGCCGCGGUAAUUCCAGCUCCAAUAGCGUAUAUUAAAGUUGUUGCAGUUAAAAAGCUCGUAGUUGAAUUUCGGGGUUCUACCGUCGGUCGGGCUACCAAGUCUGUACUGGUGUGUAGAACUUCUACCUUCUGGGGAACCAUCAUGUUAUUAAUUUAGCGUGGUGGGAAACCAGGACCUUUACCUUGAAAAAAUUAGAGUGUUCAAAGCAGGCUUAUGUCUGAAUACAUUAGCAUGGAAUAAUAGAAUAGGACGGUGGUCCUGUUUUGUUGGUUUCUGAAUCACCGUAAUGAUUAAUAGGGAUAGUUGGGGGCAUUAGUAUUCAAUUGUCAGAGGUGAAAUUCUUGGAUUUAUUGAAGACUAACUUCUGCGAAAGCAUUUGCCAAGGAUGUUUUCAUUAAUCAAGAACGAAAGUUAGGGGAUCGAAGACGAUCAGAUACCGUCGUAGUCUUAACCAUAAACUAUGCCGACUAGGGAUCGGACGAUGUUAAAUUUUAUUGACUCGUUCGGCGCCUUACGGGAAACCAAAGUGUUUGGGUUC
rnacentral:rRNA from 1 species